rnacentral:misc_RNA from 1 species
GAUGAAGAACGCAGCGAAAUGUGAUAAGUAAUGUGAAUUGCAGAAUUCAGUGAAUCAUCGAAUCUUUGAACGCACAUUGCGCCCGCCAGUAUUCUGGCGGGCAUGCCUGUUCGAGCGUCAUUUCAACCCUCAGGACCCUUUGGACCUGGUGUUGGGGCUCGGCCGCUACCCCGCGGCCGUCCCCGAAAGAUAGUGGCGGUCUCGCUGUAGCGUCCUCUGCGUAGUAAUUACACCUCGCACUGGAACGCGGCGCGGCCACGCCGUUAAACACCCCACUUCUCAAGGUUGACCUCGGAUCAGGUAGGAAUACCCGCUGAACUUAAGCAUAUCAAUAAGCGGAGGA